AAGGAAAGAGGAUAACACUUGAAAUGUAAAUAAAGAAAAUACCUAAUAAAAAUAAAUAAAAACAUGCUUUCAAAGGAAAUAAAAAGUUGGAUUCAAAAAUUUAACUUUUGCUCAUUUGGUAUAAUCAAGGAAAAGACCUUUGCAUAUAAAAUAUAUUUUGAAUAAAAUUCAGUGGAAGAAUGGAAUAGAAAUAUAAGUUUAAUGCUAAGUAUAAGUACCAGUAAAAGAAUAAUAAAAAGAAAUAUAAGUUGGGUAUACAGUUAUUUGCCAGCACAAAGCCUUGGGUAUGGUUCUUAGCACUAAGGAACCAGCCAAAUCACCAACAAACAGAGGCAUAAGGUUUUAGUGUUUACUAUUUGUACUUUUGUGGAUCAUCUUGCCAGCCUGUAGUGCAACCAUCUCUAAUCCACCACCAUGAAGGGAACUGUGAUAAUUCACUGGGCUUUUUCUGUGCAAGAUGAAAAAAAGCCAGGUGAGGCUGAUUUAUGAGUAAGGGAUGUGCAUUCCUAACUCAAAAAUCUGAAAUUUGAAAUGCCGCCCAAAAUAUGAAAUUUCACUGGCUGAGACGGUGUAAUAGUCAGAAAUUUCCAUCUGUGAUUGCUUGUAAAGUCAAAUGUUAGAGACUAUGUAUGUAGCAUGUGCAUGAUAUAUACAUGAAGUUGUAUUCAGACUUGGGCCUUAUCUCUAAGAUGUGUCAUUAUAGGUAUUCAAAAAUUCUAAAACUGGCAAAAUUCUGAAAUCUGAAGCACUUUUGCAUAAAGGACUCAAUCUCUGUGCUACUGCUGAAUUGCUGCUCCGGGCUGGGGGCCUCAUGUUCACUGACUUUGAAGUUAUUUAAUUAUCUCUUUUUCAAUUCAGUUAUUUUUUUUCACCAAAAAGGUAACAAAUAGUUAUUGAUGAAAUGAAUCUUGUCUCUUUUCUCCAGAUGCUUCAAUAAAUACCCCUAAAUAUUAAUGAAGAUUCCUGAACCAUUCUAGGUGGGAGAAAGAAGAAGGAGCAGAGUCCCUAUGUCCUUGUUCUAGGGUGACUGGAUUGUAAUUUGUGAAUGCAGGUAUAAAGUUAGAGAAAUG
rnacentral:lncRNA from 1 species